rnacentral:rRNA from 1 species
UUCUUUAUUUUAAAAAUUUUAUUAUUUAAGUAGUAUAAACAUAAUUGAUUAUAUAAAUGUUAUAUAUGUGUUUGAAAUUUAAAAGGCUUGGCGGUGUUAUAUAUCCUUCCAGGGGAGUUUGCUUAUUAAUUUGAUAGUCCUCAAUUUAUACUUACUUUUUUUUGAAAGAUUUCAGUUUGUGUAUUGCUGUCGUCAGUUUAUUUUGUAAAAAUAUUAUAAAAAACUUAAUAAUGAAAUGAUUAUAAUGUCAAGUCAAAAUGCAGCUAAUGGAGAAGGUUUAGAAAGUGAACUACAGUUUAUAAUGUUUAAUCGGAUUAAGUUAUGUAAUUAAUUUAUAAAGUUGGACUUGGUAGUAAUGAAAUUAUACUAUAGUAGUGGGAAUUUGUGAAUUAGGUUUUAUAAUGCG